UUUUUUAAAAAGUCAUUAAAAAAAAUGGGAGCAAGGACUUGGGACUUCCUGGUGGUCCAGUGGUUAAGACUUCUAUUGCAGGGGGUGCCAGAUCAAUCCCUCCUCAGAUAGCAAAGAUCCCACAUGCCUUGUGGCCAAGAAACCAAAACAUAAAACGAAACAAUAUUGUAACACAUUCAAUAAAGAAUUUAAAAUUGUCCACAGUAAAAAAAAACUUUAAAAAAAAAGAGCAAGGGCUAUGGAAUUCAGACUGGCUGGUUUGAAUCUUGACACUGCUAACUGUAGGCUGUGUGAGCUCAAGCAAGAUCCUUUACCUUUAUUAGUUUCCAUUCCUUCAUCUAGAAAAGAGUGUAAUAACAUUUCUCUGUUGUAGGGUAGUCAUAAAGAUGAAAUAAUAUUGUCCAUAUGAAUUAACUACUAUAAUUAAUUAUAAGCUUGGAACUUCAACUGUUCAUGGAAACAUUAACUAGAUGACAUAUCACAAUCGACUGACUGAUCCUAGUGGGUUGUGCCAUUGUGGGGUAGGAUGCCUCCCAUAGAGAAGAAUACAACCAGCUUGCUCCAGAAUUGCCAGGCAAAUUAAAAGUAUGUUUGUAUUUUUUUAUCCCCUAGGAGGCUUAUAGACUGCUAAAGGCUUCAUUAAGAUCUCAGGUCAUCAGCUAUGGUGACUUUAGUGAAAAAGUGGCUGAAACAUUUUAUAACAUGGGCAAGAUCUGCUUUGCCAAAGGAGAGCUUAGAAAGGCAGGUCAGCUGCUAAGGAAGUGUCUGAUGAUUCAAAUCCUCAUAUAUGGAGAUGAGCACAGUAAAAGCAGGGACACAAAAAAUCUCCUGACCCUAAUGCAGAGGGCGAGUAACAGUUCAUCCAGAUGGAGAAGAGAAGACAUCCCAGGAAGAAGGCACUCUCUAUGCAAAAUCUCAGAGGCCUGACAGAGGGCAGCAUUUGGAAGGAAUGGUGAGUUCUUCAUGGCUGCUCUAUGGGGCAGCAUUUCCUAAACGGUACUGUAAGCAAUGUUGAUUCCAAGGGACGGAGGAGGAAGAAAGGCUCUGUGGCAGAAAGUGUAGGAAGAAACCAAAUUGAAUUACACAAAGUGACACACGUUUAUUUCCUGAAGUACUUCCCAGAACUUUUUACACACUAAACUUCCCCCACUGGCAUGUUGGGAAGAAAUUAACUUUUAAAACACCACUGUAUUUAUAUUUACCUGAAUUCUUUGUAAACUGGUCAGUGAUAUAAAUUUUGGCAAAUAAAACCUUAUUUAGAACCACAGAGAUAAUAUCUUAGGUCUAGUUUUAUUUAAAGCAAAAGGUAAAUAUAGCACAUGUUUGAACUGAGGGUACAUGAACACUUUGGCAGUUUGGUAACAAAUUUGGUUCCUGCUUUAGGGCAUAAUAACUUCUUUAUGAAAGAUGACUAUCUCACCAGUGAACUAUUUUACCUGAUCAUAGAAACAUGACUUCAACACAGCCUGAUGAACUAAUUUUUCUUUAUGAUUCAUGGUGGUUAAGAGCUCUAGGCAUGGAGACAGGACUGUUCAGACCCCAGCACCACCACUUUCUAGCUAUGUAUAAUUCUGGUUUUCUCAUCAUAAGAUGGGGAUAACAGUACCUAUCUUUUAGUGUUGCUGCAAAAAUGAGAUAAUGUGUGUAAAGUGGUUAUCAGGUAAUAAAUGACAGUUAUUUUCGUAUUUACUGAAACCUGGGCUUUGACUUUAUCACCUUCUAGCUAUACCAUUGGCAGUGAAGGAAAAUCAGACAGGGGCUAGGCACUACAAAGCUACUGUGAAGCUGGUGUGGAAAACAUCUUGCCUGUUAACAGCUCAGAAGUGAGGUAGAGCUCACCCCUGGAAACACUGUAUCAUAGAGAAGAGAGUCUAACACAGUUUCUUAAAUGCACAGAUGAUGCAUCCAUUGUAUCAGCCAGAGGCCUUUCAGUGACCUGAUUUCAGGAAAGGGGACUCCUGCCAUCAUGUGGCGAGAGAGAGCGAGGCCCAAGGUUGGUUUCUAGUUGCAGUCCCUAGCAGAGAGCCCUCUCAGAUCUCUGCCCACCCCUGAUUUUAUGAGACCCCUGGGCAAUUGAUUUAAUUUGUACCUACUUUUUUUUUUCAAAUUUGGAAUCAUAUCAUCUCUUGGUUUACUGAUCAGGAAAUUAAAGUGCCAGAUAGCUUUCUGUAUUUUAUAUGGUCCAGUAGGAGACAGAAUGAACCAGUCUUUACUGGGGCUUGCAUAUAAAAAAAAAAAAACCCUCAAGUUGCUCAUAAAAUUUUAUAUCUCAUAUUUCUGUGGAACGGAUUUGUUUUCAGGCAAAUGGGGCUGUGAAAACCACACUUGUUGCAGGCUUGAGGUCUAAAUAGGAGGUGACUGAGGAACACUUAAUAGAAACCGGGUUUCUGGAUCAGAAAAUCUCUUGGACUAGACUACUUCUAGUUCCAGGCCAACUUCUCCAGAAUCAGGCAACCAGCGUAUGGAAAUCUUAAAGGCUGGGAAUGAGGAUGACAGAUCCUCUUUUUAGCAAUUACAGUGCCUCUGGGCUCUAAUCUCUGUGCUCAUGAGGAGGAAUCACCUGAAAAGCACAAACAAUAUACAAAAGGCCCUAAGUUAGGUAAUUUUUUUUUCAGCUGUGAUUAAAUGCAAUCCAGAUAUCUUAGAUACACCCCUCACCUGCUGUCUGAAUCAAAGGAAGUCCCCUGCUCUUUAGGGAGAAAACCUAAGACUCUAGUACCAUUUUGGAGGCCCUUUAGCAGAGUUAGCAUUUUAGGGGGAUAGUCACUUGGUAAAAUAGUUGCCUCAGACUGAGUUCAGCCUUCUAGCUCAAUAAGGCAGUGAUUGGUGCUAGAAAGAGGGAGAGAUGUCAAAAACCAAGAAAAAAAGGCACAAAUGGUUUUCUCCUUUCCUCUAGGUCUUCUGUUAUCAGUAAAGGGAAAACCUCUAUACAGAAUAGUCAACAAUAAAGCCAACCUGUUGAUAACAAGCAUUCUUGACCACAAAUAUAUUUACCAACACCGAUAGCAGUGGCAGAUCAAAAGCAGAACCAAGGAUUCUGGCGGGGGGGAAAGAUACAUUUAACAAGGGCAUUACAGGUAAAAUACAUAUGGCCAUUAGAAACCACGAUUCUGUUACCUGAGAGGAAGGAAUCUUUUUUAGACACAUGCUUUAAGUUAGUUUCACAUAUCACUGGGACUCCCAUUACCUUCCAUUUCCGCUUUUCUAAUUUCAUUCUUUCCCAUUCUGACUUUUAAAAAAAGUUCUGCAGUGCAUAAGUAGUUUAUGCAUGAGCAUUUUAAUACAGUACUUGUAAACAUCUUUAGCCAUAACCUCUUUGGGGUCCCUAAAAUUGCUUUGUGAGGAAAUGUUUGACCUUCUGGAAGACUGACCUAACCUGGUCUACUGAAGUCAUACCAUGUUAGAGCCAUAGGCCUUUUUGAUUUUCGUAAAUGAAGAAAACAGGGACAAGAGGGAUUGAUUCAUUCACGGUCAGUCUAGUGACUAUAAAGCAGAUAGUCACCUGAAUCACAGCUUUCCAUCCUGCUUUGCUGCCCCUACCGACUGGAUUAAAAAGACUUGGGAAUGGAAUGCUCACCAAGGUUGUUAAAAAAGAAGCCCCGAACGGGCUUCUCUGGUGGCUCAGACGGUAAAGAAUCUGCCUG